rnacentral:rRNA from 1 species
UGGGGAAUAUUGGACAAUGGGCGAAAGCCUGAUCCAGCCAUGCCGCGUGUGUGAAGAAGGUCUUCGGAUUGUAAAGCACUUUAAGUUGGGAGGAAGGGCAGUAAGCGAAUACCUUGCUGUUUUGACGUUACCGACAGAAUAAGCACCGGCUAACUCUGUGCCAGCACCCGCGGUAAUACAGAGGGUGCAAGCGUUAAUCGGAAUUACUGGGCGUAAAGCGCGCGUAGGUGGUUCGUUAAGUUGAAUGUGAAAGCCCCGGGCUCAACCUGGGAACUGCAUCCAAAACUGGCGAGCUAGAGUAGGGCAGAGGGUGGUGGAAUUUCCUGUGUAGCGGUGAAAUGCGUAGAUAUAGGAAGGAACACCAGUGGCGAAGGCGACCACCUGGGCUCAUACUGACACUGAGGUGCGAAAGCGUGGGGAGCAAACAGG